AAAUCUUUUUCACAAAAAAAAAUAAAAAAAAAAAAUAAAUCUGUUCUUAUCAGUUUAAUAUCUGAUACGUCCCCUAUCUGGGGACCAUAAUUUAAAUUGAUUUUGGAAUAGGGAGAUGGAAUAGGGGCUUGCUCCGUCCACUCCACGCAUCGACCUGGUAUUGCAGUACUUCCAGGAACGGUGCACCCCCU